UAUUUAUUUUUAUAUUUAUUUAUUAUCGCAUGUAUUUAUUUCCACUUUUAUUUAUUUAUUCUUGUAUUUAUUUUUACUUUUCUGUGUCUUGUAUGAUAAUUAGAUGGGUUGGUCUUGCCUACUAUUGGUUCAGCGUAGAUUGAAGCGUUUGAUCGAUUACUCUUGACUUGUUUUGGACUAACGUCACGUCACUUUGCAGGUUUAGUCCUCCAUACAUAUUACAUAGCCUACCCAGCACUUGAUUCAUCCUCGUAAACCACUUGCUAAAACGCUCCCAUACGGAACUUUUCUUUUCCUUCCUUUUUUUGUUUUUAAUUCCCCCUUUUUAAUUUUCUCAAGGAUCUGUUUCGCUUCCAUUUCUGCUUUAAGAAAUGGACCCCCCUCUACCGCAGCCACGCGCGUAUUUCUUUUAAAUGAUUGCAAAUUAGCAUCUGCCUGAUGGAAAAUGCAUUUAAAACACAUUCGUAUUUCAGAGAAAUGCAGUUAAUAUUUGUAUCAUUAAUGACUGAUCUCACCCAUCCGCAAUUAAUCAGAAUGUAUUUUUUUAUUACCCGACCCACCCGACCCGCGGAUGUAACCGCCAUCCGCGCAUCACUACUGUGCAGAUGUGUAGUUUCAGUUAAAAAUACAGAGAAACAUUUUAUUAUUGUACGUUUUCUUUAUUGCUAUAUAAUUGCUUCUUUACUUUUAUAUUAUUACACUAUUCCUAACCCUCCAGCUUGUGUUUGUUAUUAUUUUUGUCAUGCUAUAGUGUAAUAUAAAGAUCUUUAUAGAGAUAUUUUUUGUCUAAUAUUACAGUGUAUAAUUAAUUGUAUUGUUGUUAACAUUAUUUUAACAUUAGACAAUUUUAUCUGACUCCCAUUGAUAAAAAUACCUCGAUUUGAUCAUAAUGUUUCAUAAUAAUCGUGCAAUUUGGGUCAAAGUUUGAUUCUCCUGCUUUACUCUAAAUUAUACUCGUUCAUUCUAUUCUAUACGCUUGUCUAUAGUAGCACUAUAGGCUGGUCCCCUUAACACAUUACUACAUUUACUUUAUUUAGGCUAGUCCCCUUAGUCUACGAACACGACUCAUUAUUUCUAACCAGAGGUCAUGACCACUCCACAGAGAUAAACAGACAAACCUUGCUCUCUCUAAUGGCAGAUUCUUCAUAGAUCUCUGUAUUUUCAUGUGUAUUUUCAGGUAUAUUAUAUAGAAAAUAAUUUGCUUGUUAUGUAGUUAUAAAGACUAUAUCUGCUGUAAAUGGAUAAAUAAAUAAAAGCACAUAUGCUCUUAUUUUGAAGUUAAAGAGAGAUGUUGUUAUUAAAGUAUGUUUGUGUUAAAUUUAAUGAUAAAGCCUCCACAUUUGUACACAGCUGUACUAUCAGCUCAAUUUUACAGAUUUACACUCUUAAAAAUAAAGGUCCUUAAAGGGCUAGUUCUUCCAAAAAUAAAAAAAUUCUGUCAUCAUUUACUCACCCUCAGGUUGCUUCAAACCUGUAUAAAUUUCUGUUAAACACAAAACAUGUAUGUGUAAGAAUGUUAGCAAUUGUUUAUUUUAACAUUCUUAACUCACUUUCCUUCGCCCUUUGGAUAUUAUUAUUAUUAGCCAGCCGAUUUGAACUAAGCAAACGCUGCCUAUAGUUUUACUUGACUGUCCCUGGAAGUAACGUAAGCUAACAUAACGUAAGCACUGCCUUUAACUUUUCCUUUGUUAAAUUGAGUCACCCCGAAACACCUCCGUUGUCGACAGUUGCAGCGCGUUUCUGUGUUUGUUUGUGUUGCGAGGAUUUGCAGGGCAUGUAGGAAAUAGUAGGAGAAAAAUACAAUGGUAGUCAAAAGUGCCACAGAACUGUUUGCUGUCCUACAUUCUUCCAAAUAUCUUAUUUUGUGUCCAACCUAACAAAAAAUGAUAAAGUAAUUUUUCCCACUAUGGGAGUCAAUGGGGGGCAAAAUCUGUUUGGUUAUAAGCAUUCUUUCAAAUAUCUUUCUCUGUGUUCAUCAGAACAAAGACAUUUAUACAGAUUUGGAACAACUCGAAGGUGAGUAAAUGAUGACACAAUUUUCAUAUUUGGGUGAAGCAUCCCUUUAAGCGAGACUAUUUGCAGUCCCUUAGUCCCUUGCAGUUAGUAUAAAUAUGUGACCCAGUCUGUGAAAACCCAGCUAGUGAUUUACUGUUUUCUACAUAAAAUCAUCCUAUAACAUCCCAAAUAAUGUAAAGAAUGUUCUGUGAAAACAUAAUCUUUAAACCUUAAAUAAUGACACAUAAGCCCAUGUAAAAGUACAUUUUUUAAAUCAAACAUUAAUGCUCACUUUAGCCUGGUUUUCACAGGCAGGGUCACAUGUGUACACCCUACUAACACUCUUGACUGUGCAUACACACACUUUGAAACGCAUGAAAUCAAUGCAAGGGUUUAUAGUUGGAGACCCUUGCUUUUACAGUUGUGCAGACUCUGUGUAUUUGUGCAUUUUGUUUAUCAUGUGAGACGGUGCUGUUUUUUUACACUGAAACACGUCUUUACAUGUCUAGUAAUUCCAAAGACUCAGUGAACCGCAGUGAAUUCAAAACUAAAGCUGAACAUAGGGACACCUUCCUAAAGGUAUCAGAUUUAUUCAAGAUCAAAAAAAAUUGACACGCCUUUGAUGAAAAGUAAAAGCAUUGCUCACAGACGUAGCAUUUCUACAACAAUCCUCAAGUUUUUCUUCUGUGUUUUGUUAAAGUAAAGCAGGUUCAGAAAGAUGUACCAAGUUUUCUUUCCUCAAAAGGGAAAUCUAAGACCAUUAGAUGUGGCAGCUUCAAGAGAAGAAUUCGACAACACCACCAUUCUGGCGUUAAAGACAAAAAUUUGCACUGCACUAGUUGGAGAGCCGAGAGGCAUGAAUAACCUUACAGUGUAUUUUGAGGAAACAUCUUUAAAAAAUGAUCAAACACUUGGCUUUUAUAAUAUUCAACCUUCAUCGACUCUUGGAUUAGGUUAUUGGGAGCUCCAUUCACUAGUGCUGCCUAUUGAUGAUGAUGAUCGUUUGCCCCGGGCGGAUUCUCUGGAAUUGUUAAAGCUUAACAUGUAGCUCUGUGACAUUCGCUUGGACUUGAGAAGAAACAAGGUGGACAAAAUCUAAAUCUAAAAAAUCUAAAAAAUAUUACACAAUUCAAACAUGUUCUGUCUGUCUGUUCACUGCAAUGAGAUUGUUGUUUCUGUCUAAUGUUUGAGGUUUUUCUCCCUGUGUGUUUCAAUGGUUUGCUUUAAUUUGAACAGACAUUGAUCAGGUUUAUGAAUGAUAUGCCAUAUAAAAGAGACAGAAAGAUAAAACCCAUUCUAGGCAGAGACACGUAACAUCUAUAACAGUGAUCUAUAACAUUUUAGUGUCUCAGUGUGUAACAUUGUCAAUAAACACCAAAUCUCAUGAUACCGUCAGGCAAACACAUAUUUGUAACAUGA